CGGCAGGACGCUCCGCCCCCACCGCGCUGCAGCCAGGGUUCUGGGGUGACUCUGGGCGUUUUUGCGCAUUGCACAGCGGGACAGCACCAGUGGCUUGGUCCUGUUUCUCGCCGGCCCUCCCGGAUGGGGCAGCCGGGCCAACAUCCAGAGCUCACUCAGCUUACAGGGGAUGGACUGGAGGCUGUCCAAGGGUCCCGUCUGCGCUUAGGUGGCCGCAAAGAAGGGACCAGCCUGCUCUUCUGGAUGUCGCACACCUGGCAAGCCUCCCAGAAGGAUCCCAGGCUGAAAUUGGAAAGCCAAAAGCAUUAUGGGGGCAACCUCUCAGCCAGAGCCCAGUGCCCUGGCCCCCCCACUCACACUUUGACCAGCCGAGGGGUGAACAGCUUUAGCGGGACUGGCUUGCUCUUCUCACACAGCAGUGGCCGGUAGAGCUGCUUUUGGCUUUCCACCUCUGCCAGUGUGCUUUGAAACAGCUCCUGAAAAAACAUGAAGCAGCUGUCCUGGGGCUACCUGUCUGAAGUUCGCCCUCACAGAGUCUAUGGGGUCCACAGCCAAGGCAACAUGGAGACAGCCCAGCGGCCUCAGCAGCCAGCCUGACCCCAGUAGAGAAAUGUGCUAUCGACACACUUUCCAUGGAAGUGCAAGGAGCACCACCUCUACUGAGAUGGUCUUGGUGCCUGGAGGAAGGUGCUAUGGGGCAGCUGGUGGAGCCACACAAGGGGACAGGUGAGGCUGCUGGGCCUUAUCUUCACCAGCACCACGGCUAGGACGCUUCAACUGAGUGCUGAGAGGCCACUGUGGGCUUCUGAGGAAUCUCCUACAGGCAGCUCGCUGAUGCUGGUCCUACACAGGUAUGUUCUGGAGCCGGGGCUGCUUGGCUUCCUGUGCCCAUAGCAUGGCCAUUUCUUAGCCCAACCGGAUGUAACCUGAGUGCCUAGAAACCUACAUAUCCCAUCACGCACUCUUGGCUAGCCCAAAUUCUGUAAGACCAGGAGAUAAAAUUCUCUGUCAUUUAAACAUAAACACAGCCAUGUCCACAGUAAGUGGGUGCAGGUACAAACAUCUCGUCCUCAUCUGCAUUUGACAAGUUGUCAUGACUUUGAGGAUGGUGACAUGGUUUGCUCUCGGCUCUCGAGACUGGGCCAGGAUUAGGACAGCCAAGCCACUGUCCUAGAGGGACAGAGAUGAUGGGGCAAGCACUCAGGGGUGGUCACACUGAGGGCAAGAGGCCCAGGAAGCACAGUGGUGAUGUGGGGAGGCCUGGUGGACAGCCACACAGUUCUAAGGAGAGUUCCAGGCAAAGACCAGAUAGGAGGAUCCCAGGGCUUCUGAGGCUGAGCCUGUGAGGUAGGAGCACACGAGAGCACAGGCAGACUGCCAGGCUAGGAGGCACCACACUGCAGCGCCCAAUGCCGUGGUCAGCACUUGCCUGUUUUUGUUUGUUUAAUAUUUUUUAGCUGUACUUGGACAUAAUACCUUUAUUUUAUUUAUUUGUAUGUGGUGCUGGGGAUCGAACCCAGGGCCUCACCUGUGCUACCACUGAGCCCCAGCCCUAGCCCUUGCCUCUGUUCUUAAUGAAAAGGGAAUGCAGUGGAGGGCCAGGGCUCAGAGUGUGACUGGCACCUCCUCCUCCAGUGACCCCCUGGGCCAGUGCAGAAGAGCCUGUGCUGUGGGCAGCAGCAGGUGGGGCGCAGGGCAUGGAUGCACUGGAGGGUCUGUGGUGACGAGGCCCAAGUCCAUGGAGCCAGCCCUCAGGGCUGUGCAGAACAGAGGGACCACCCCAAGAACCCAUUGGGUAGCUGCAGAGUUGAGGUGCUCCUUGUGCUGCAGACCCAGCUGCAGGCCCCACCUGGGCUCAGUGGUCUUUCAGUGCAGCUCCCUGCAGGUUCCGCCCAGUAACGGCAUGGAUCCAGACUUUGCUUGAAUCCAGCCCAGUGGUGCUCAGAGACCAGGGACAGUACGAUAUCAUUUCCCAUUCCUGUUUGAUUUUGUAAAGAUGAAGUCCUUAGCUUAAAUAGCAACUUCAAGGACAAUUAUGCCCCAUUGACCCACUGCUGGCUCAUCAACACCUCAAGGAUCAGGAAAUCGUACCUGGAGCUCGUGGGGGUGGCUGCAACGCGUCAGGUGCUCUGUCAGGAGGGCCCGGAAGGGCCUGAUGAUGGCAUGGAAGGACGGCAGUGUGCCAUACAUGAGGACGCAGUGCUUUAGCAGGGCCAGACACACAGCCAGGCAGGACAGUCUGUAGGAACAGGAGACAAAGGCAGGACAUCCAUUUGUUCCAUGACAGCCAGUGACUGGGAAACCAGUACCCUGGGUGAGAAGGUCACCCCAUCUGUGCUACCGAGAAGUCAUGUGAGGGCCCUCAGCUCACAUGUUCCUGGGGGCACCCAGGAACAGCUGUCUCCUUCCCACGCAGGAAGGAGGGCUGUGGGGGAGACACUGCCAGCUGGAAAGGACGGCUCCCUUCACUUCCCAGGUUAACACUGAAACUGAGCAGGUAUGACUCGAAAAAAAUCCACAUUUUUAGGAAACUUUUUAGACAUCAACCCAAAGGGCAUGAGAAAUACACCAGCUAAAAACACACUUUCAGGUGGUGAGUGAAAAGUGCCCAUGUCUUUCACCCUCCUGGGGUGCUGUCUGAUAUACCUGGCGUGGGUGGCCUCAGCUGCAGUCGGGGAGCUCGGCCCACUUGCCCAGCGCAGGGGGAGGCUUCCCCUCUGCCAGGUGGCCACAUCUUCUGCUUCAGAGACCAAGAGCAAUUCGGAAUUCUUCCCAAGUGCUCUGAAAGGAUGCACCAGAGUAGAACCUGAAUUCCAAGCAUGACAGAGAUGAUGGGAUGUUACUGACUACAGGUUGAGCCUGUAGCACCUCUGCCCCCAGGCUCCCUGGGUGGUGCCAAACCUGUAGUCAACUCAAGGAGGCAGACAGCAUGGGUACAAUGCUGCCCUGGCAGAAGCUUUGGCAGGGGGUGGUCAGAGACAUACCUGAACCCUGUCUUGGAGGCUUGCUGGCAAUAGACUUCCUGUGGACCUACUAUGUGUGGUAUCAGAGGCUCUAGGCCUUGACCAAAGCCUUGGGAGACACAAUAAAACCCACAGAAAGAAACGAACUAAGUAGGAAAAGGAAGAGUGAAAGAGAUGGCCAGGAGGAGAGGACAAGGUCAGGCAGUUUUCAAGUCUGGAGGAGGGAUGUCAGCAGAGACCCAGAGGGUGUGCAGCAGUUAACCUGCCCACCACCUGGAAACACAGAUGCUGGGGGCGGGGGCAGACUGCUGCGGAGACCUGAGUAGGGCUGAGCAGAGGCAGCUGGGCAGAUGGUUGGACUGCUGUCAAUUGCCCCAGGCCAGGCCAGCUGCGCUUUCCGCCACCAUUGCACGCUUCCCAAUCCCACUGCAUGGCCCCGGGGUAGUUCCUGUAGCUCUUUCCAGCAGAAGUGCUGUCGUCUACCCUGCAUUCCCCUUUUGGGGAUCACGUGGAUGGCUGUGCCUCUUUGCCAACACUGAGCAGGACACACAUGUGCCAGCAAUGGCCACCAGUGCCACCAGGGACCAAGGAAGCCACAUGCAGGAAAGUCCUGUCAUGGAAGAAAAGCUGAGGGGCAGGCAGUAGGAAUGGAGUCCUGAUUGAGGAACUGCCUAGAUACCGCUUCAAAAGAGCUCCUACCCAGGCCCUGCACAGGCAGCUCUGCUCUCUGCUAGCCUCUGGGCAUGAAGCAAGUGAGAUGAGGCCAGAGCCCUAAGUCUGGAAAAGAUCCAGAUGGGACAGAGACCAAGCACCCAUCACAGUUCCAGGGAGGAAGCUGAGUGAGAAGUUUGCAGAAGGAAGAGUCUGCGUGAGGAAGCCCUGACCAGUAAAGGGCACUGAGCCAGGACCAGGUUCAGAAGAUCAGCCAGUGAUCACAACCCUGCUUCACUACUGCGGGCUAAGUGACCUAACAUAGGACAAAAGAAGAGCAGGGUGCGGGGAGGCUAAGGCAGGAGGACUAGUUUUGAGCUCAAGAGAUCAGGGCCAGCCUGGGCAAUAUCCUGACACAAAAACCAAACCAAACCACCAUGCACCAGGCCCCGGGCUCCCUCCCAUGUACAACUAACCUCCCAAAUUAAAUUAAGACCGAUAUUCUGUUUUGUGUGUGUGUGUGGAGCUGGGAGUGCACCCAGGCCCUUGCAUGCUGGGCAAGCACUCUACCACGGGGCCACAUUCCCAGCACCGUUUCUUUUCACAAUAUUAUUUCAAUGCCUAAGAGAGAAGUGUGUCAAGAUUUUUAUGUAUAUUUCUUGACACUGAGCCCUGGCUGCAUGGUGUCCUCUUCAUAGUCUCUGCUCAGACUUGCACGUGUGACCUCAGGCCUGGAAAUCACGUUCCCUCAGCAGCAAGCUGAGUGUAGGUGGGUGUGGGUGUGGGUGUGUGCACAUGCACACUCAGAGGACAACAUGCUGCUCUGGGUGACAAGACUGCAGCAGUGUUUGUUUUUGUCUCUGGGAAAUUACUCUUUACAAUACAUGUCAAGGAAGUUCCUACACACCAACUCACCUUGGCUUUGUGUGUUUGGAGUCGCUAUGUAGAGAAUCCCAAGAAGAAAAUUAAUAACCUCAGGUACGAAUCUGUGAGACAGAGCCACAAACUCCAGAAACAAGCAGCACACAAAGAGGCCUUUCACCACGUCUUGAAGCGAGAGCACAGGGCACUGGAAAGGAAGCCACAGGGGAGCUGGUGCUCUGGACUCAUGUUCUGGGAACUGUGUGAGGCAGACACCUGGAUGCCCAGGGGAGCUGUGCUCUAAGCCUCACCCAGAGCAAGUCCUGCAUCCCGACAAUGACCCCUGCAGAUGACACAGCCUUACCCACGUGUAAGGCAGGAUCACUGCAGUCUGUGUGGGCCAACUGUAUGCCUCACAAAGGGAACUAAUUUGAAAUCCAUACCCCCAAAGGGAACAAAAGCCCCUAUCAGAUUGAUUUGCCAGCUCCUUCCUGGGGACACAUCCUCCACUAACCAUGAACCUCUACACCAGACUCCCAUACCCCGCCCAUCCAGGGAAACGCUCAAGGGUGCUGCGCACCUUGUCUGCCAGACUCUGACCUCUUACUUCUCACAGGUCCUAAAGACAAGUGGGCUUUGGCCUGAUCUCACGGUCAGUAUCCCUGAACCUCAGCCAUGCUCCUUUCAACAUGGCCCUGAGAUGUGCUGGGAAGAGGAGACACACCUUCGUGAGCAGCUGGCUCAGGCACACGAGGGCAGGGGUCACAACUGGGUGCCGGAAGUCAGAGGUCGGAAACAACAUCCCAGCAAUCUUCAAAUAAAUGAGCUGGAGAGAGAGAUUGCCACAGAUUACAAAAGGAAAUGAAGCUCAACUAAAGCACACUCUUGCAAGGGGCCCAGGAGCAGAGCUGGUUUAAAGUCCUGGUGAAACAGCCGGCAUCAGUGGGCGCCAUGCUCCCCCUCACCUAGGUCUUCUGAAAACAUCACCCAGAGAAAGCACGUGAACUGCUGAGCAUGACAAGGUUCUUUAGAACAGGCAGUUACUUUCAGUAGGUCCAAUCCCAGAGCAGCAGCUUCCACAAGGAGCCUGCCACCAGCAGCAGAUGGGGGUACUCAGGGGCAGCUGCCAGGGACCCACGUUAGAGCUGGAGGAGUCUGAAGUGGCCUUCAUACAGCAGCAGGGAACCUUCCACCCACACUGGUGAAGAUGCCUUCUCCCUGGCCCAAGGCACCGCUUCAUUGGUUUGUUUUCAUUACAAAAACAUACAACAGUUCUGGGUGACAUGCAACCUCUAAAACCAGCACUUCCGGAAAGCUGGCGAGGCUCCAUUUCCCAUCUCGGGUGGUUGCAAGGGCAACGAGCCCAGCAGCAGCACAUCAGAGGGGCCGCAUCACCUCUGCAAGGUGGCUCAGGUCAAGGCUCCAGGAAACAGGACAGCACUGCCCAGCCCACUGUAGCCUCAGGCCAGGGCCUGUCACAGGUGUGGUGAGGAUUCCACUGGUUAGGAAGGGAAGCUCUCUCAUGCCGAAACCUUGAUAUCUCCACCAGUUACUGUAACGUGAAAGCUAGAGUAAAAGGCCACAUCCCUGAGGAAGAGGGAGACCUGCCGUCUCCAGGACAGGAAGCUGCCUCAACUGAAUUUCCCCAGGGCCACGUCAACACUCAUCCAUGUAGCUGUUCUCUUUAAUGAUGGCAGCCAGUUAUGCUCGCAGGACACCUAUGUGUAAGUCAGAUGUGGGGGGCGACAGGUGACACUGACGGAGAAGGGUGGCUGGCAGAUUAACUGCCCUGUCUGGACUCUGCAGCAUCUCAAGAAUGCCCUGCUUGACCAGGGGCACCAAGAAAUCCCCCAAAGUACCCACAACUGUGUGGCUCUGACCCAUGUGAAUUUAAAAAUAGCAGACACAUGCCAGCAGGCUCCAUUUCCUCCUUUCUGGUGGUGACAGGGACUUACUACAGAGCUGUAAGAGGGUGUCCCUACCUUAAUUUGGGGGUUCUAAGGAAAAUGAGGCCCAGGGAGAGGUCUGAAGGGAGCUCUUGCCAGUGUCCCGCAUCCUGCCCCAGACAAUUUGACCCAGGGUGCUAGCCACUGAGCCACAUGCCCUUUCCUAUUUCAUUUGGAAACAGGGUAUCACUGUUUCCUAAGCUCCUUGAACCCGAGACCUUCUUGCCUCCACCUCGGGAGCUGCUAAGAUUGAGAGUGUCUGCCACUGCAACUCCGCAUUUCUUCUUCAAAGAUACUAAGUGUCACAUAAGGCUGUUACAAAUAGUCAGGGGUCUCUAGGAAAACACAAUGCUUCUGUGAGUCUUAAAGCAUCUUUGCCAUUAAGACCAGACACAGCCAGGCACAGUAGCAUACAACCUGUAAUCCCAAUGAAUUAGGAGGCUGAGGCAAGAGGCUCACAUGUCUGAAGCCAGCCUCAGCAACUUAGACCCUGUUUCAAGAUAAAAAUCUAAAAAGGCUGGGGAUGUAGUUCAACGGGAAAGUUCCUGAUUUCAAUCCCUAGUACCCACCCCACCAAAAAAAAAAAAAAAAAAAAGUCAGAUAUAGCCCUGUCCAUAUGGAAUCAAACCAGAAUCUCUAUCAGCAACUUCAGUUAACUGUCCUCUCAGGUCUGUUGCAGUCCUCUCCCCACCAGUCUGGAAGCUCUAGGGCACAACCAGCCUCUCAAUGCAAAGACACAUGCACCCUCCCGGUCCUUGAUACCACACUGAACCCGAUUCUCAUGGCUCAGGACCAUGCCCACAGACCCCGCAUCGCUUACCACAUCCAACCCUGGGAACACUGCACGGCCCUUGGUCUCAAUCAUUUCUUCCAUCUCAUGCAUGGCAUCUCGAAGAACAAAUUUUAUAGAGUUGCUUGCAGACUCAGGAAACAUCUGGCAAAGAUUAUAUAACUGCCUAUGAAGCAGAAAUUUAAGUCAGGAGAGGACUCUGGACAAUAAAACACAGAAAACUCUUGGAAACUCGUUCUGUGCAGUCACCUGCUAAUUGUUCAAGUCAGAAAGGGAAGCCUCUGGAUGAACCCUUUGAACUCGCUGGCAACCCUCACACGCCAAGGGCCUGACCUCCAUGCAAUGCCCCAGUCUGAGUGACUCACUCUUUUCCUACUGCUGUCUGCUGAGCUCUCUGAUGACCCAGGUAAGUUUUCUUUUUCGGGGGCGGGGAGAGGUACUGGAGAUUGAACUCAGGGCCCAGUGCAUGCUAGACAAAUGCUCUACCACUGAUCCACAUCCGAAGCACUUUAUAUUUUGAAACAGGGCCUCACUAAAAUUACUGAGGCUGAUCUCAAUUUGCAACCCUCUUGCCUCAGUCUCCAAGUAGUUGGAAUUACAGGCAUGUGCCACCACUCCUGGCUCCAAAUAAUUUCUAAUGGUGUUUUAUGAUAAUCACUGUACUUAAAACUUGCUAUUUCCUAACAAUCUGGUGAUGACCUUUGAGUGGAAACAUUACUAUUGGGCACAUUCUAUGUGCCAGCUAUGGUACUUUACACAUUAGCUCAUUUAUUCCUUGCAAAUGCUUUGUUAAGACCAUCCUUCUGUGUGUGCCAGCAGUACUGGAAGCCAGAGGCCACCGUGAGCGCCACAAGCUUCUAGUGGAAUAAGGGUCAGAGCCCACCCAUACCAUCCCUUUGUAGGACACAAGAGUGCUUUCCUAGCAGGAGAUCACCAGCUCAAGUAGAGCCAGUCUUGUCAGGAUCCACAGAGGUGGUGAUGGACCUGGCCCACAGGGCUCAAGUUCCAGUAGUGACAAUGGGAUUCUCUACCAUGCAUUCCAAAUACUUCCCAAUCCCCCAGAGCUCCAUUGGGAAACUAGGUACUCCUACUAUAAGUGAGUCUGAGGGAUUCAUUUUUUAAAAAACAAGGUCCCAUCUCUGUGGGGCUGGGAGCAGCAUGAGCCAGAGUGAGAAGGUGUCACUGUUACUGCCAUGGGUUUGUUUUGUGAGUCCUGUUCACAAGCUCUGGGGACAGUACACCUACCUGCUAUGGUCACGUCACCAGACUGCCUUACUGAUUUCAAAAUGUGUAUUUAUGACCUAACUGGGAGAAACAUUGCCAGUUCAGCCUCAUAUCCUUAGGAACAUAAACAGUUUUUACUUACACCACCAACUUAUCAAUUACUUUGAGGUCUGGUGGAUCAUUUGUAGCCAAAUCUCCAAUGUAUUCCAAAAGGAAGCCGAACAGUUUCUGUAGGAACAUGAAUUAGGAAGAGAGCUUAGUGCUAAGCACCCAAGAUCGGAAUCUCAGGCAUGUAACUUCUGUUUUCUAGUGUGGCAAAGGAGGUGGGUCAAGGGACCCUGCCACAGACAUGGGACCUGUGCAAAAUGCAGAGGCUCAGCUGGAGCACAGGGACACUGGGAGGUGUCCAAGGACCAGGUGGCACUUGCAGACAGAGACACUGGUCACCAAAACUAACAGGGUGACACGUAUCACCUAUGGAGCAAGGGGGAGGGACAUGUGCUGUUGUCUCAGUAGGCAGAGCCAUGGGAUUGCUGUGAGCCAUUUGCUCUCAAGUGAAAGGAAGGGCCUGUGCCAGGUUUAAGGGAGGUGCCCAGUGCCCAGGGGUGAUUCUGUUGUGAGGCCUGCUCACAAGCUCUGGGGGACAGUCAUGUGCUCCCCAGCAGGAGGCACCCUUCAUAUGUGUAACCUCAGCAAUCCUGAGGCUCCGACUGGGGGCCUGAUCCUGCUCCUGAUACUCAGCACCUCAUCAUUCCAACGUACUUCUAAUUUCUCCUUGUUCCCCACUGCAAGACUUGGAUGGUUGCAUUUCUGAAUUCGUUCCACCACCAAAAGCUGCUCUUCCAUCGAUCUUCCUGAUAAUGCAGAUCUCAGCUCCUCAUAGGACUCAGGAGCUACCGAACCCAAACAUACUUACAUUUAAAAUGAGCAUGGCUCCCCCUGUGCUGACACAGGGGGACAAUGGCCACAACAAGCAAGGCUCCCUGCUUUAACAGAAGAGGUUAAGACACAUCAUACACGUGCUUUUGUUCACAAACACAUCCAACGUAGCGGACACCUAGCUGAACUGGGCUAUCUAGGGUUGACCAUGCACCCGAGGACAGCCCCAGUGCAUUUUUGGCCCACCACCCUUCCCUGAGUAGGACUUUGAUUCAGUAUCCACAACCCAGGGAUCACUCAGUGUCAGUGUUAGUUUUACUGCCUCAAUGCCCCAGAUGAGCUGGAAGGAGACACAAGAGCUAAGCAAUGCCACCACCCGAGACUCUCACCCAUCAAGGUCACGUCCCUGGAGGUGAGCCUCACUGCUAGCUAUCCUAUGGAAAGAACCUCCAGUCACAGGAUAACUCAGGGCUAUUUACUUGAACUAGUUUUAGUGAACGUCAGACAAACCCCUGAAAGUUUAGGUAGAGGGUUAUGUGGCUAAACAAGUGCUCAGGCCUGAACACAAGCCUCUGGGAUCCACAGAGAGAAUGUGAAGACACUAGGUGAAAAGGUGUGACUGCCUCAUCUGCAUACAGCCAGCCCACAGAAACUGCCUGGUGCAGACACAGCAGACUCCUGUGCACUCAAGCUGCACAGCUUAGCCAGGUCACAGAGGUUGUCCCUGGGUCCUAGAGAAGCAGCACCCUGCUACCUGCAAAGGUGUAGGGCAGCUCAGUUCUGGCAGCCUUUUGAGUGUUCUGGUCAUCACUUCUCAGUCUCUUCCCAGGAGUCUGCCCUUGCGCUCUCGGUGGCUUCCCACUUUCCUCCUCACUCUCUGCAUUCGAGUCCAGGUCUGAAUGGCUGUCCGGGUCCCCCCUCUCCCCUUCGGCCUCCUCCUCGUCGCUCUCCUCUUCGCCUUCCUCCUCGUCGCUCCCUUGGAUGCCAGCUUUCCCGCUUAGUUCUUUGUGGACAUCCUCCUCAACGUUCAUCUUUCCAUCCUAGAAAGGGACCAGAGACCAGGAGCAUCACUGCGCAAAGCACAGAUUACACAACAGGUACAGUGUGUUCCUACCUGUCCGUCCCCUGAGCCUGGUCCUCCUUGCCCACCCCCAUCUAUGCUGUCAGACACAGGAGAUGAAGGUUCUAGAAUGAUUUGGAGAUGGUACAUCUCUCCAGGGCUCCUGUGUUGGAAUCUUCAUCCUCAGUGUGGUGCUGUAAGAGGUGAUGGAUCUGCAAAAGGAGGGGCCUAGGGCUGGGGCUGAGUGGUAGAGUGCCUGCCUAGCAUGCGCAAGGCCCUGGGUUCAAUCCUCAGCACCACAUAAAAAUAGAUAUUGUGCCCACCUGCAACUAAAAAAUAUAUUUAAAAAAAAAAGGUGGGGCUACUGGAAGUUCUUAGGUCAGGAAGGGCAGUGUCCUAGGAAAGGAUUAUGAUAGUUUUCCUGGGACAUCCUGGUGAGUUCUCAGGACAGUCUUUAAGAAACAUGUGAACCUGGCCGCUCUCCCUCUCCUGACUUCUUGCCUGGUGACAUGAUCACUUUCUCUUGUCGAUACUCAAACCACCAUGAUGCCUUCACUACAAUUGAGAAGAUGCUGUUGCCAAGCCUUUGAAUGUCUAUGACUGUGAGCUACGUAAACCUCUUUAUAAAACCACUGAACCUUAAGUAUUCCAUUAUAAUAGCAAAAAAAAAAAAGGACUAAUAUAGGUUCCUAGUGAGUCCUGCCAAGACUGGGUCUAUGUCUUGCCAGGGAGCUGUGCAGGAAGGUGUCCAGAAACCCCAUUUCUGCUAUUCCAGAUAACCUUGGAUUUUUUUUUGCCAGCACCAGUUUCCCGUCUUGGGCUCUUUUUUGUUCAAACAGAGCCUGUCUAUAUUUCUGCUUUCACCCUUGCUAUACUCUAAAAGGACAAGUGAGUAGAGACCUUUCUCAUUUUUGUGAAUAAAAAUAUACCCGUCUUAGAAACUUGAUUACUCAAAAAUAUUCAAGAGCCAUAACCCCGCAUUAGUUGCCUGUUUUGCCGAGAUCCUGCAGCUAACCAGUUAAACUGUACGAUGAGAAAGUGCUUAUUGUAACAACUGAGGAAAGUGGCAAAGACAGUCCACGUGGCUCAUCAUCAGGCACCUUCUGCAGAGGGAGGGAAGCAGAGCACACACAGGCUCCUUUAUGAAGUUCUGAUACCUGAAACCCACCAGCACUCAGAUGAAGAACUUUAGAGAAAUGGUUUCAGAUUUGCAUUCUCAUCUGUGAUGAACUCCUUAUGUUUUCAAAUUAAAAGGAAAGAAAAUGAAGCCAAAUAUCUUACUUUGUAAGAAAGCAGGCGCCUGUCAUCUUUGUCCAGCACAAAGCCGUCAUUUAAAUCAUCCGCUGACGUGUGGUUUGGAUUCUUCAUACUUUCAUCCUCCUCCUUUCCAAGCAUUCUUCGAAGUCUCUCAGCCUGACAGGAAGGAAAAGAGAAGCCACAUGGUGUGAGCAAACACAUGAAAAGAGAGUGUGUGUCCAGCUCCGGACCACAGGGCCUCCAGCCUGCCUUCUGCCAUCUUCACUCAAAAAAGAAAGAGAGCACUGAGUGUUAAGUGGGAGACUUCCAUAUUUAUCAGACUAUUCAAUCUUGGUAAAUACUUUCCAGCCACAAGGAAGGAAAACCUAUUCCUCUAAGAUCUGACCCUAAUGGAGCUCCACGGACUUUCUCUUUGCAACACAACCUGUGUUACAUUAAAAUGGCCAAGUGUAGAAUAGUAUGUCUCUAUCUUAUCUUUAUUUAGCUGUAGUUUGACAGAAUACCUUUUAUUUUAUUUACUUAUUUUUAAUGUGGUGUUGAGGAUUGAACCCAGGGCCUUGUACAUGCGAGGCAAGCACUCUAACGCUGAGCCACAAACCCUAUCUUAUGUUUGUUUAAAUGGAACAACAUUUAAAAAUUUUUUAAGCUAGGUGCUGUGUCCUAGCAGCUUGGGAGGCUGAAACAAGAGGAUCGCAAGUUCAAAGAUAGCCUCAGCAACAAGCAUGGCUCUAAGCAACUUAGUGAGGCCCUAUCUAAAUAAAAUACAAAAUAGGACUGGGGAUGUGACUCAGUAGUCAAGUGCUCCUGAAUUAAAUCCCCAGACCCUACCCAUCCAACCACCCAAAAUUUUAAUACACAGAAUAAAACCCAUAAAGCAAUACAGUCAACUACAUUGUUAGCAGAUAUUUUAACAAAGAGAAAUUGUAAGGAAUGUCCAUUAUUUUAUUUGGUGUGCUUGGGUAUUAAAGCAUUUUAUAUUUUUGCUUUAGUAAAUACAAACUUUAAACACA